rnacentral:rRNA from 1 species
GAUGAACGCUGGCGGCGCGCCUAACACAUGCAAGUCGAACGGCACCCCUCCUCGGAGGGAAGCGCGUGGCGAACGGCUGAGUAACACGUGGAGAACCUGCCCCCUCCCCCGGGAUAGCCGCCCGAAAGGACGGGUAAUACCGGAUACCCCGGGGUGCCGCAUGGCACCCCGGCUAAAGCCCCGACGGGAGGGGAUGGCUCCGCGGCCCAUCAGGUAGACGGCGGGGUGACGGCCCACCGUGCCGACAACGGGUAGCCGGGUUGAGAGACCGACCGGCCAGAUUGGGACUGAGACACGGCCCAGACUCCUACGGGAGGCAGCAGUGGGGAAUCUUGCGCAAUGGGGGGAACCCUGACGCAGCGACGCCGCGUGCGGGACGGAGGCCUUCGGGUCGUAAACCGCUUUCAGCAGGGAAGAGUCAAGACUGUACCUGCAGAAGAAGCCCCGGCUAACUACGU